UUGAGCCUCAGUGAUUUUGUAUUAUCAGGUCAUAUGUCAUAUGCUCCUUUUUACUGAAGUUGGAGAAGUGCAGUUUUCAGGUAAGAUGUGUUGCUGAAUACACUGUUGUUAUAUUGCAGUAAUAAAUAUAUGAAGAUACAUAUUAUUGUGCUGAUUUAGAUAACGGUGGCACUGUCAUAACUAUGCUUCCUCGCGCACUUGCUAGGACAUAUACACAGUUUUAAUGUGCGAAUCCUAGCGUCUCUUUUCACUAAAAUCCUCUUGGUUUCGUGUAUUGUGUACUAGAAAGCAUAGUCCCAAUUUAGUACAGGUUUCUAACUUAGUCCCAUGGAUUCAGUACUGUCUAUACCAUGCUGAUGUUACCACAUAGUUCCCAGUUUACCAUACGAGGUAACCUAACUUGAUGUUCUUAUUUUUGUGUGCAGAGAAUGCAUGUUGCAGAUUAGAUUACAGAUUAGAAAGUGCCGUCCUCUUUUAGGCCAGCGGCGAUUGACAAAAUCUUUCUUCAAUUGUUAUAUUCUCUAAAAUUGGAGCAGGUCGCUUUCUUAGACCAGUGCAGUCACUUAGUAGUCACUUACACAACGACCACUUGAAAUAUCUCUCCUUUUCGUUUUCAAGAUCAUGAUUUAUUGUAUGAUUAUUUUUUAGUGUUGGUAAACUACAUUCAUUUCAUGGUAACAUAUGUCGGUGUUGUUGCAGGUCCUGUGUUUUUUACCCACCGGUGUUUCAGUCUUCGUUAUUUCACAGAUAUGCUUAUUCUUACAUGGAUGUUGGUGCAUCAUCUUGGAAGAGUUUCAAGAAAAGUAACCCCCAUCUGCAUUGGGAUCUUCCGAUCUAAAGCUUCUUUCAAGUGUAUGCUUAUUCUGAACAAUUUACUUCCUUGAAUCCUCUUCAAAGGUUUUAUGCAAAGUGCAAUUAGCUUAGGCCGCACAAGGACUAUAUAUGUACCUGUAGAAGUGUAGAUGUGGUCUUAUUUUUGGAAGUUCAUAUGUAGUUUUCAUUUGCUCGGCUGAGAGAAAUGGCAUGUUGACAGAAGAAACUAAGCAGCCUCAUGUUUUGUAUAAAAUAGUACAAGAAUAUCUUUUGCAAUGUAAAACAGUAGGUCACCGAACCAUUGUGCA